UCCCCUACUCCUCCCCAGGGAGAAACGCAAACGCAGCGAUCUGCGCACAGACUCCUUCUUGGUUCCUCUGGGAGAGAAGCAGCCAGCUUUCCCCGACUCAACUCUGGGGGGCAAGUCAAUAAAGUUGUCAUGUCAUCAAGUGGAGGGUUGAAGACUGCAGCAAUGCAACUUGUAAUAGCAACAGCUCGGCCAACCAGCAAGACAUGCCAGACGGCUCUCUAGUCUUACCGACUGAGGCACUCAGGGACACACAGGGGCUGGAGUCAAGCCCCCUACCUGGGGAACAACACAGAGUCCGUUUCCCAGUCCUCGACUUGGAUUGGCACAGGUGAGACCAGACCUGCUUCAUAGCCUACCAUGGCUGGGAUCCUCUCCAGGAUGAAUGGAGGGACCACUCCUACAAAGACGACCACCAUCAGCACCAGGGC